UACGUAGGUGGCAAGCGUUGUCCGGAAUUAUUGGGCGUAAAGCGCGCGCAGGCGGCCUUUUAAGUCUGAUGUGAAAGCCCCCGGCUCAACUGGGGAGGGUCACGCGAUACUGAUCGACUCGAAGGCAGGAGAGGGUAGUGGAAUUCCCGGUGUAGUGGUGAAAUGCGUAGAUAUCGGGAGGAACACCAGUGGCGAAGGCGACUACCUGGCCUGUUCUUGACGCUGAGGCGCGAAAGCUAGGGGAGCAAACGGG
rnacentral:rRNA from 1 species